rnacentral:tRNA from 1 species
AUUUGAAUAGCUUAAUAAGAGCAUGAUAGUGAAGUUAUCAAGGUAGUUUAAAACUUUCAAAUA